UUGGACGCUGGCGGCAUGCCUUACACAUGCAAGUCGAACGGUAACAGGUCUUCGGAUGCUGACAAGUGGCGAACGGGUGAGUAAUACAUCGGAACGUGCCCGAUCGUGGGGGAUAACGCAGCGAAAGCUGUGCUAAUACCGCAUACGAUCUACGGAUGAAAGCGGGGGAUCGCAAGACCUCGCGCGGACGGAGCGGCCGAUGGCAGAUUAGGUAGUUGGUGGGAUAAAAGCUUACCAAGCCGACGAUCUGUAGCUGGUCUGAGAGGACGACCAGCCACACUGGAACUGAGACACGGUCCAGACUCCUACGGGAGGCAGCAGUGGGGAAUUUUGGACAAUGGGGGCAACCCUGAUCCAGCCAUGCCGCGUGAGUGAAGAAGGCCUUCGGGUUGUAAAGCUCUUUCGGCCGGGAAGAAAUCGUAUCAGCUAAUACCUGGUGCGGAUGACGGUACCGGCAUAAGAAGCACCGGCUAACUACGU
rnacentral:rRNA from 1 species